rnacentral:tRNA from 1 species
GGAGGUGUGGCUCAGUGGUAGAGUAUGUGCUUCACAUGUGCAAGGUCCUGGAUUCAACCCCCAGCACCCCCA